rnacentral:rRNA from 1 species
GGUUAAGCGACUAAGCGUACACGGUGGAUGCCCUGGCAGUCAGAGGCGAUGAAGGACGUGCUAAUCUGCGAUAAGCGUCGGUAAGGUGAUAUGAACCGUUAUAACCGGCGAUUUCCGAAUGGGGAAACCCAGUGUGAUUCGUCACACUAUCAUUAACUGAAUCCAUAGGUUAAUGAGGCGAACCGGGGGAACUGAAACAUCUAAGUACCCCGAGGAAAAGAAAUCAACCGAGAUUCCCCCAGUAGCGGCGAGCGAACGGGGAGCAGCCCAGAGCCUGAAUCAGUGUGUGUGUUAGUGGAAGCGUCUGGAAAGGCGUGCGAUACAGGGUGACAGCCCCGUACACAAAAAUGCACAUACUGUGAGCUCGAUGAGUAGGGCGGGACACGUGGUAUCCUGUCUGAAUAUGGGGGGACCAUCCUCCAAGGCUAAAUACUCCUGACUGACCGAUAGUGAACCAGUACCGUGAGGGAAAGGCGAAAAGAACCCCGGCGAGGGGAGUGAAAAAGAACCUGAAACCGUGUACGUACAAGCAGUGGGAGCACGCUUAGGCGUGUGACUGCGUACCUUUUGUAUAAUGGGUCAGCGACUUAUAUUCUGUAGCAAGGUUAACCGAAUAGGGGAGCCGAAGGGAAACCGAGUCUUAACUGGGCGUUAAGUUGCAGGGUAUAGACCCGAAACCCGGUGAUCUAGCCAUGGGCAGGUUGAAGGUUGGGUAACACUAACUGGAGGACCGAACCGACUAAUGUUGAAAAAUUAGCGGAUGACUUGUGGCUGGGGGUGAAAGGCCAAUCAAACCGGGAGAUAGCUGGUUCUCCCCGAAAGCUAUUUAGGUAGCGCCUCGUGAAUUCAUCUCCGGGGGUAGAGCACUGUUUCGGCAAGGGGGUCAUCCCGACUUACCAACCCGAUGCAAACUGCGAAUACCGGAGAAUGUUAUCACGGGAGACACACGGCGGGUGCUAACGUCCGUCGUGAAGAGGGAAACAACCCAGACCGCCAGCUAAGGUCCCAAAGUCAUGGUUAAGUGGGAAACGAUGUGGGAAGGCCCAGACAGCCAGGAUGUUGGCUUAGAAGCAGCCAUCAUUUAAAGAAAGCGUAAUAGCUCACUGGUCGAGUCGGCCUGCGCGGAAGAUGUAACGGGGCUAAACCAUGCACCGAAGCUGCGGCAGCGACGCUUAUGCGUUGUUGGGUAGGGGAGCGUUCUGUAAGCCUGUGAAGGUGUGCUGUGAGGUAUGCUGGAGGUAUCAGAAGUGCGAAUGCUGACAUAAGUAACGAUAAAGCGGGUGAAAAGCCCGCUCGCCGGAAGACCAAGGGUUCCUGUCCAACGUUAAUCGGGGCAGGGUGAGUCGACCCCUAAGGCGAGGCCGAAAGGCGUAGUCGAUGGGAAACAGGUUAAUAUUCCUGUACUUGGUGUUACUGCGAAGGGGGGACGGAGAAGGCUAUGUUGGCCGGGCGACGGUUGUCCCGGUUUAAGCGUGUAGGCUGGUUUUCCAGGCAAAUCCGGAAAAUCAAGGCCGAGGCGUGAUGACGAGGCACUACGGUGCUGAAGCAACAAAUGCCCUGCUUCCAGGAAAAGCCUCUAAGCAUCAGGUAACAUCAAAUCGUACCCCAAACCGACACAGGUGGUCAGGUAGAGAAUAC